rnacentral:rRNA from 1 species
UACGGAGGGUGCAAGCGUUGUUCGGAAUUAUUGGGCGUAAAGGGCGCGUAGGCGGGUGUGAAAGUCGGUUGUGAAAUCCCCGGGCUCAACCUGGGAAUUGCAGUUGAUACUACACAUCUUGAGUGCUUGAGAGGGUGGUGGAAUUCCUGGUGUAGAAGUGAAAUUCGUAGAUAUCAGGAGGAACACCGGAGGCGAAGGCGGCCACCUGGCGAGACACUGACGCUGAGGCGCGAAAGCGCGGGGAGCAAACAGG